rnacentral:rRNA from 1 species
CAAGUCGAGCGGCAGCACAAGUGAGUUUACUCCUGAGGUGGCGAGCGGCGGACGGGUGAGUAAUGCCUAGGGAUCUGCCCAGUCGAGGGGGAUAACAGUUGGAAACGACUGCUAAUACCGCAUACGCCCUACGGGGGAAAGAGGGGGACUUUCGGGCCUCUCGCGAUUGGAUGAACCUAGGUGGGAUUAGCUAGUUGGUGAGGUAACGGCUCACCAAGGCGACGAUCCCUAGCUGUUCUGAGAGGAUGACCAGCCACACUGGGACUGAGACACGGCCCAGACUCCUACGGGAGGCAGCAGUGGGGAAUAUUGCACAAUGGGGGAAACCCUGAUGCAGCCAUGCCGCGUGUGUGAAGAAGGCCUUCGGGUUGUAAAGCACUUUCAGUGGGGAGGAAAGGUUGUUGGUUAAUACCUUGCCUCUGUGACGUUACCUACAGAAGAAGGACCGGCUAACUCCGUGCCAGCAGC